rnacentral:rRNA from 1 species
UACGUAGGGUGCGAGCGUUAAUCGGAAUUACUGGGCGUAAAGCGUGCGCAGGCGGUUCGUUGUGUCUGUGGUGAAAGCCCCGGGCUUAACCUGGGAAUGGCCAUGGAAACUGGCGAGCUGGAGUGUGGCAGAGGGGGGUGGAAUUCCGCGUGUAGCAGUGAAAUGCGUAGAGAUGUGGAGGAAUACCGAUGGCGAAGGCAGCCCCCUGGGAUAACACUGACGCUCAUGCACGAAAGCGUGGGGAGCAAACAGG